rnacentral:rRNA from 1 species
UGGGGAAUAUCGCACAAUGGGCGAAGGCCUGAUGCAGCAACGCAGCGUGAGUGAUGAAGGCCUUCGGGUUGGUGAAAUGCAUCCUGUCUUUUGGGACGAUAAUGACGGUACCAAAGGAGGAAGCCACGGCUAACUACGUGCCAGCAGCCGCGGUAAUACGUAGGUGGCAAGCGUUGUCCGGAUUUUACUGGGCGUAAAGGAUGCGUAGGCGGAUUUUUAAGUGAGAUGUGAAAACCCUAAGCUUAACUUGGGGACUGCAUUUCAUACUGGAAAUCUAGAGUGCGGGAGAGGAGAAUGGAAUUCCUAGUGUAGCGGUGAAAUGCGUAGAGAUUAGGAAGAACACCAGUGGCGAAGGCGAUUCUCUGGACCGUAACUGACGCUGAGGCAUGAAAGCGUGGGUAGCAAACAGGAUUAGAUACCCUGGUAGUCCACGCCGUAAACGAUGAGUACUAGGUGUAGGAGGUAUCGACCCCUUCUGUGCCGCAGUUAACACAAUAAGUACUCCGCCUGGGAAGUACGAUCGCAAGAUUAAAACUCAAAUGAAUUGACGGGGUCAUAGCUGUUUUCC